UACGGGGGGGGGUAAGCGUUGUUCGGAAUUACUGGGCGGAAAGGGCUCGUAGGCGGCCAACUAAGUCAUACGUGAAAUCCCUCAGCUUAACUGGGGAACUGCGUGUGAUACUGGAUGGCUUGGAUUUGGGAGAGGGAUGCGGAAUUCCAGGUGUAGCGGUGAAAUGCGUAGAUAUCUGGAGGAACACCGGUGGCGAAGGCGGCAUCCUGGACCAAUAUUGACGCUGAUGUGCGAAAGCGUGGGGAGCAAACAGG
rnacentral:rRNA from 1 species